UGAUGGAAAAUUUUGUAGCUGGAUUGAGUAUUGAUUGCUGAGGCUUCAGGCCAUAGAUGAGAUCAAAGAUAUCUCUAUGAAAAUAUAGAAUCACAUUAUUAAUGUGAUCACAUUAUUAAUGGUAGCUCUUAAAGGCACAGAGACUUCGCUAAUUAGCUUUUCCUUUUCUUUUUUUUCUUUUUUUUUUUUUUAGCCUGGAAUCGUUUUUUCUUUUGUUUUAGAAAUUGGCACUUGCCAGCACGCACUCUUUCGGACCCGGAGUGUAGGUCUAGUAGACACACUUACGGUUGAUAUAGGCUGGCUAACUACCCUUCCUCCUUAAGAUCCCAUCGUUGUAACUAUGUUUUAGUCUUUACCAAUUGUAUUAAGCAGGUCCUAAAUAACCCCGGCUCACCUGGUUCAGUGCCUCUUUGCAACCCGAGUUCUAUAAAGACUUGUUAGUGACUGGGUCCUGGGAAUGGACACUGUGCCAAUGCAAGACUGACCACACAGCCUCUGUGUCACAUGUCUCGUGGCAAGAUGACAUGCUACUGGGCUGAAGAUGUGAUGACCAGGCAAAGAGAAGGCCUGAACAGUGAGCCUUGAGACACUCCAGCUGGUAUUUCUCUGCAGCUUGCUGCAAAGGAAAGCUGGCAUCCUGAGAGCACAUUCAUUCAACAAGUGUUUGCUGAGCGAUUCCUUUGUUCUGGUCUCUGUGCCAGGUACUUGGGUUACAGAGUCCCUGCUUGUAUCUAUCAAAGUCCUGGCAGUAAACAGAAUUCAAGUCAGAUUGCUCAAAUGAGAGAAUUUUCAAUGGCUUAAGGAGGUGUGGGUAGGGAUGCUGAACCCUAUCAAGGAUGUUAAAACACCUGGUAAGAGCUGAAAGCUUUCCUACCGCAUCCCUGAACGAGGAAAAGGAGAGGCAGCUGAAAAGGCCCUCCUCCCAGAGCUGUGUUCAUGGAGAUGUGGCUGUUGUCAGAACUUUGGCACCACAUAGUUCUGAAAGGACAGGAACAGCGAAGAGACCUUCUUCUUGAUCCCAUGUUUCUGUUUUUGUUUUAAUCUUGCUGGUGGCUACCAUUGACCUGACCUAGCCAUGCUCUAGAACGGUAUGCCAAGCAGAGCAGGUAGAGCCCUCCCUGGGUGUGCUGUGAUGAAGUCCUGGGACCAUACAAUUUAGAGGACGGGAGAUUGGUUUAGCUCAGGGUUGAAGAGCUCUCACUUCAUCAUGGCAGGAAGGAUGUGGCUGCUCAGAGAUCAUGUGGCAGCCAUGAAUCGGAGAGGGAUAAAGGCCAUCUGAGUAGAUGGCUCCCCCUUCUUCUCCCUUUGCUUCCUCCUAAAUCCCAGAAUAUUGAGCCUCACAUUCCACACUCAUAUUUACCCUCACCCUCCUCUAGUUAAUCCUUUCUGGAAACACUCUCAGUGGCACGUCUAGCAGCAUGCUUUACUAAUUUCCUGGGUACCUCUUGAGUCCAGUCAAGUCAAUAGUCAAGGCUAGCUGUUACAUUAGUAUGCCAGCAUCCCAGAAUGGAUGAUGCCGUUCCAAGGGCAAACUCAGGGACAAGCAGUACAUCCCCAUGGUGGAACAUCCACAGCAUAUACCUAGGGCAUCUUCUUAUGGCCUGGAGUAUGGUUCAUCUCACCGCAUCCCCAGGGCACAAGGCAAUUGCUCACACACCAGGCUUUGGUUUUCCAUGCCCCAUGGUGAAAUAGCUUCCCACCACUGUGAUGUAUCUUUGUACUGGAUUAUUUCCUGUGAGAAGAUAGUAGUUCCAACCACUCAGUGCAUGCUGGGAGGAACAUGUGUUGCAUGUGAAGUAAUUAGAAGUCAACGUGGGUUGAAAAUGAUAUGUAAAUUUAAGAGGUUGGCAGUCUGGCUUGCUUUCGCCUGCUGAUCACUGAAGUGAUUGUAUGGCCUAAAAUGCUCAUGGGCAGAAUUUCUCUAUUCUAUUUUUUUUUUAGGUGAGUAGGUGUUGGUUUCAUUGGAUUUACACACCACACACACACACAAACACACACACAUACACACUGUUCAAGGGAUCUUAGAUUGUAUAAGCAUCUCACUGAAGCAUCAGGAAUAGAUUUUUUUAAGAGGCAUUCUUUAAAGGGCAUUAGAUAGAGGUGGUUUAUGCUUAUUUACAUUUAUACGAGUUGCCACAAACCCUCAAAAGAAAACAGAUGUUGAUUUUUAAGAGAGGGGGGCUUAUGUUGACCUUUGCUGUCUUUGAUGUGUUAAUGAUGUGAAUGAAAGCAGUGUUAUCAGAAGAAUCACAGUUUUAUCUGAAUUUACUUUUGAGUUCCUUUGAAAUGACUUGAAAAGGCCCUGAGAUAGUGAGACAUUCAUGCAAUGAAAGCACCCUAUUGCGUUCUAUACUAGUUGUUUCUUUAUCAAAGAAUAAUCCCAAAGAGUGCUGACAGUUGGGUGGAUUCUUUAACAAGAGGCUACAUAAUAUACUGUCCCAUCAAUUGGCACUAUUGGUUUUGAGUAUGGGGGAUGUCAUAGGUUAGCCCAAUCUGGUCUCAGGUGUCUGGUCAGACUCUAUCCCCUGCUGUCUUAACUCUCCCCAGUAAGUUUUCCUAAUGCGUGGUCUACCACUCUCCUUCCCUCCCAGUUCCGGGCAGGUAUAGUUUGUGUGAACGAGUCAUUUUAAGCCCCUUUUCUCUUGUGAUGGCAAUGUUUUCAGAGAAAGAAAACCAGUAAGAGUUUGUUAUGAGGAAUUACUUGAUGAGGUCAUGGGAGUCUCAGGGCCUGCAAAGUCUACACUUUCCAUAUGUAAGCUGGUGUCUCAGAAAAGAUAGUAUUGUGGUCCUUAUAGAAAAUGAUAGCCUGAGAGUGCAAAUAGCCAAUGUUAAGUCCCAGUCCAAAGGCAGGAGGAGUUCAGUGCAAGCAUAAUGGUAGGGGAAAAGGGCACACACAGAGCAGGUGGGAUGGCUGCGUGGGUCAGAGCUCUUGCAUGGAACCCACAUUACCAAGCCAGAUGUGGUGGUACACAUCUGGACUUUCAGGACUCCUACAGCACAAUGGCAGGCAGAGACAGGGAGAUGAACAUGAAGUUCGUAGACCAGCUAACCUGGUCCUACUGUGGCCGAAACAAGAGUGCCUGCCUUGCUAAGGUAGAAGGGAAGUCCUGAAAACUGUUCUCUGAGCUCUGCACAUGUGACCUGGCACAAACACCCCAUCAACCCCAAGACCAAUUCUUUUAAAAUAGUUAAGAAACAUCAGAGACACCUUCUUCCUCCAUAUUCGCUCUCUGUGAACUCAGUGGAUUGAAAGGUGGCCACCCACAGAAGAGGGGCCUCACAUGUUAGCCUCAUGUGGAAAUAGUUUCACUGGCCCACACAGAGCUAAUCUCCCAUCUGCCUUCCUGACCUUUGUUGCGGUCAAGUUGGCACACAUGUUAACCAUUGUCCUUUUUAUUAGAAAGUCUCUGACUAGAUAGUAAGUGUGCAAUCUUUGGCACAGCUCAGAAUGGCAGGCAUCAAAUUGGUGUUUCAUAUAAAUGUGAAUAUAUGGCUGUUUACAAUGAGAGUGGCUUCUAGCUAAGACUGAAAAAUUUGGAAACAAAAAUUUAUUUUAAAAAUUUCAUGAGGCAAGUAGAACAGCUCAGUGGGUAAAUCUACUUUCUACACCAGUGCUCAAAAUGUCAUUCAUGAAGGAGUCUCUGUGUAUCCCUGGCUGUCCUGAAACUCACUCUGUAGAUGAAGCUGGCCUCAAACUCAGAGAUCUGCCUUCCUCUGCUUCCCCACUGCUGGGAUGAAAGGCGUGUGCUGCGACCACCACUAGGCUUCACAACCUCAUUUAAAUCCUGGGUCCUGCGUGAUGUAUUGAGAGAAUUGGCUGUGAAAGUUAUCCUCUGACAUCCGCAGAAGCAGCAUCUCACGCCCCAAACCCCAACCCAAACCACUAAAGUACACUGACGUAUGUGUGUAUGGACACGGACACAUGUGUGUAUCUUUGCACUCAACUCAAAUAAAUAAACUU
rnacentral:lncRNA from 1 species